rnacentral:lncRNA from 1 species
CAUGGAUGUCGGCAUAGUCAUCUGGCAGUUCUGCAGCAGCCCUAGCAUUUUUUGGCUUUCUUUCCAAAAUCCACUCUCGUACAUUAGGGCUCUGGGUCUGCAAGAACUGCUCCAGGACCAUUAAGUCAUUAAGGGCUUCAUAGGUAGUAGCUUGUACUCCUGUUACCCAUUGCCGGAACGUGGUUUCUAAUUGUGCAAUAUAUAGAAUGCAGCUGGAUGAUGGGCAUUGCUGCAUACUCCUAAACUUUUUC